CCCCGACGGCGUAGCGCCCAUUUCCGGCACAGCCCCGUCAUAUACUUCAUCGCCAAAGAACUUAUUUUACUGUAAACAGGACCAGCAACUUCAGCGUCGGAUUCAGCAGGCUCAGUUGGUGCAAUCUGUAGCCUGGAGGUCACGUCUACGUUUCCAGUCUAGAAUCUCACAGGCCGUAACAAUGUUUAAAGACGCCGCUCGGAACAUUGUGAAAGAACUGGAUCCAAGGGGUGAGCUGAAACCAGUGGUCAGUGCCUAUGACUCCAAAAAAAUAGACGUGUUGACGGUGGUGAAGAUUGUGAAGACUUCAAGGCUGUUUUUUUUUUAUGUGCCGGAGUACCACCCUACACCAGUGAGUGUAGCGGAUUUAAUCUUGCGUGGUGAUACUGUGGAUUUUGGUGGAUCGUCUCAACUCGACGUCGCUACGGUGAACAUGAAGGCCAAUGCGGAGGCUGCGUUGCGUUUUAUGAGCAAAUCAAAUUUUGUCCGAGACGGUGUCGAAGGCAGCUGCACUUUGAAUCGUUCCAGUGAUCUUUUUUCCAAACUGGAGAGUGUUUGGAUAGACUAUACCAAACUUCACAGAGCCAUGCAAGAUAGAAACAACAUCGUUGGGUGUUGCUCCUGGAUUUUCUGUCUUGCUCCCGUUUCUCCUCCUCCUCAGUACUUCUUAGAAGAUUGUCAGUGUUAACAGUGGCCCCGCAAAUAUUUCCUGCACAUGCUGCUGCUUUUGAGGGCAUGGUGGCUAAUUGGGUAACACUGCGACCUCACCCAUUCGGGAGUGUGCCGGACCGGCGUGCGACCAUAGCGUACCUCUGACUUGGCCACUGGGCUGCUUGGGGCACACCCUCUGUCCUGACCCUGUCCGUGACAGCCGGAAGGCCCUAUUUUUAGGUUCUUCACAGGAUAGUGUGUUCAUACACAAAUUCGACGAUCGUCACCCAGUGAUCAUGACCUUGAAGAAAAAUCCCAAAGUUGUAGGACUCGGCGUGAUCUUUGAUGUUCUCAAGACCAAGAAUCCUUUGUACCUGAAGCGGAACAAUCAAGCUACAGGCAGUGCAAAGUUCUCCUUGCAAGAAAUUGCCACGGCAGAUAGCAGCCUUAAGGUAGAAAGUACGAAGACGCUGAAUGUGGACGC